ACGAACGCUGGCGGCGUGCCUAAUACAUGCAAGUGGGACGCAAGGGAACACACUGUGCUUGCACACCGUGUUUUCUUGAGUCGCGAACGGGUGAGUAACGCGUAGGUAACCUGCCUAUUAGCGGGGGAUAACUAUUGGAAACGAUAGCUAAUACCGCAUAAUAUUAAUUAUUGCAUGAUAAUUGAUUGAAAGAUGCAAGCGCAUCACUAGUAGAUGGACCUGCGUUGUAUUAGCUAGUUGGUAAGGUAAGAGCUUACCAAGGCGACGAUACAUAGCCGACCUGAGAGGGUGACCGGCCACACUGGGACUGAGACACGGCCCAGACUCCUACGGGAGGCAGCAGUAGGGAAUCUUCGGCAAUGGACGAAAGUCUGACCGAGCAACGCCGCGUGAGUGAAGAAGGUUUUCGGAUCGUAAAGCUCUGUUGUAAGUCAAGAACGUGUGUGAGAGUGGAAAGUUCACACA
rnacentral:rRNA from 1 species